GAUGAAGAACGUAGCGAAUUGCGAUACGUAAUGUGAAUUGCAGAAUUCAGUGAAUCAUCGAAUCUUUGAACGCACAUUGCGCCCGCCAGUAUUCUGGCGGGCAUGCCUGUCUGAGCGUCAUUUCAACCCUCAUGCCCCUAGGGCGUGGUGUUGGGGAUCGGCCAGCGCCCGCGAGGGACGGCCGGCCCCUAAAUCUAGUGGCGGACCCGUCGUGGCCUCCCCUGCGAAGUAGUGAUAUUCCGCAUAGGAGAGCGACGAGCCCCUGCCGUUAAACCCCCAACUUUCUCAGGUUGACCUCAGAUCAGGUAGGAAUACCCGCUGAACUUAAGCAUAUCAAUAAGCGGAGGA
rnacentral:misc_RNA from 1 species